rnacentral:rRNA from 1 species
UCUACGGGAGGCAGCAGUAGGGAAUCUUCCACAAUGGACGCAAGUCUAAUGGAGCAACGCCGCGUGAGUGAAGAAGGUUUUCGGAUCGUAAAGCUCUGUUGUUGGUGAAGAAAGAUAGUGAGAGUAACUGCUCAUUAUUUGCCGGUAAUCAACCAGAAAGUCACGGCUAACUACGUGCCAGCAGCCGCGGUAAUA